rnacentral:piRNA from 1 species
UAGUGCAGGUCUUUCUAAAGCUGCCUGA